GACGAACGUUGGCGGCGUGCCUUACACAUGCAAGUCGUACGCGAAAGGGGAAACCAGCUUGCUGGGGACCCCGAGUAGAGUGGCGAACGGGAGCGUAACACGUGAGGAACCUGCCUCGGAGUGGGGAAUAACCCAGAGAAAUCUGGGCUAAUUCCGCAUGAUGCAGCGGCCCCGCAUGGGGACAGUUGUUAAAGACCGCCUCUGCUUGCAAGCGGUCGCUUCGAGAUGGUCUCGCGGCCUAUCAGCUAGUUGGCGGGGUAAUGGCCCACCAAGGCGACGACGGGUAGCCGGCCUGAGAGGGUGUCCGGCCUCAUUGGGACUGAGACACGGCCCAGACUCCUACGGGAGGCAGCAGUGAGGAAUCUUGCGCAAUGGGCGAAAGCCUGACGCAGCGACGCCGCGUGAGGGAUGAAGGCCUUCGGUUGUAAACCUCUGUCAGGGGGAAGAAUCCGGAGCCGGUGGAUACCCGGCUCCAUUGACGGUACCCCCGA
rnacentral:rRNA from 1 species